ensembl:lncRNA
AAAUAAAUUACAUUUAUAUGAUGAAGAGUAUCUACUAAAGCUUUUGUAUUUUUAUAUUGAGACAAAAUAUUAUGAAGGGAUGUUUUUGUUCUUCAAAAGUUUAUUUAUUGGUAUAAAAGAUUUAAAAAGCUUUAACCCUUAUUUGUAUUACUCGUUUAGGAAUUAUUGUUACUAUUUAAAACAUGAUGAAGGAAAAAAAAAAAAAAAGAUUUCAAUCAACCAAAAUAUGUUUAAAAAAUUAAAUGCCUUACAUAUUAUACAAAUUUAUGAAUAUUUUAAAUGCGCUUUUGAAACAUAUGCAGAUUUUUGUUCAAAGCAAAAGAUGUUAAUAAAUGAUGACAAAACAAACAGUUUGUAUUAUUUUUACUUGAGCAAUCGUAUAAGUUCUGAUAUAUUAUCUGAGUUUGGUGAAGGGGCGAAAGAAUGUGUCGACAUGUAUCGUAAUGCGAACAGUGGUGAUUAUAAACACAUAGAAAAAACUAAAAAUAAAUAUAUGUUAACAAACUUUAAAAUAAAUUACAGAAGUUAUAAAAACAGAGAAAAUAAGGAAACUUGUAAGAUGAAAAAGAUAAAUAGUUGUAACAUUUGGCAACAUACAGAGAAAGGUGGUACUGGUGUAAAACAGGUUAUAGAGAGCAGCGUUAUUGGUAGUGCUACGCCUAGUAGUAAUGAUAGUACCAAUAAUAGCAAUGCCGACAAUAGCAAUGCCAAUAAUAGCAAUGCCAAUAAUAGCAAUGCUGACAAUAGCAAUGCCAAUAAUAGCAAUGUCGAUAAUAGCAAUGUCGAUAAUAGCAAUGCCAAUAAUAGCAAUGCCAAUAAUAGCAAUGCCGAUGGGUACAUUUCGUCUCCAAGCAACAACCCACUUAUAGUCUUAAAAAGAGAAACGUUCAAAAUAGAUAAUUAUAUAUAUAACGUUUUAAAUAAUAUAUUUAUGUACACCCCAGCUAAUUUAUUAGCUUUACAUACACAUUUGUUCAACUCUAAUAAUAUGUUAAUUCUAUUAAAGAAUAUAAUUUUCAAGUUACAUUAUUUACAUAUUAAUUAUAUAUCAAUAGUAGUAUAUAAAAUUUAUAAUUUGGUAAAUAAUAAUUUAAUUGUUGAGCCAGUAGAAAAGAAGAAGUACAUUAUGUUGUUGGACUUUUUGCAUGAGUAUUUGCUGGGUGAUGAAAUAAAAAAUGAAAAAUAUUCUUAUGAGGAAUAUAAAAAAAAAAAUGAUUUAAUAAAUUGGUGUGAUAAUUAUGACUGGAAAGAGAAAAGGUUAAUUAUAAAUGGCAUAUUAAAAAAUUGUAUGUAUACAAAUAAUAAUGUUUCACAUGAACAAGUGAAAAAACACAUUGCAUAUGUAUUAUAUAGAAAUAAAAAUUAUUUAAAAUAUAUUAACAACGAUAUAAUUUUUGAUGAAAAUUUUUUAAAUUUCUAUUUUAAUUUUAUUAUGGAAAAAAAAAAAAAAAAUUUUAGCAGAUGUUUAUAUUAUAACAUGACAAAUGAAUCACUAUUUCUUAUAUUUAAAUCAUUGUACAUAAAAAAAAAAGAUCCCCAAUAUAUACAAUGUGUUGAAACAAUAACCAACUUGUUUAUAUGUAAGUAUAUUGAAUAUAAAUGUAACAACCCUGAUAGUACAUAUGCGAUAAAAAAUAGAGAUUUGGGUGGAAAAUUAAAAAAAAAUAAUGCUACAGAUUUAGAUAAACCAUAUGAACAUGUUGAAAAAAAUGAUUAUGUUUGCACCAAUGUAGUAGUGCGUAAAGAUGAGGAAACAAUUGUAGGUUCAAAUUGUCAUAACAAAAAUGAUAAUAAUAUAUUUGUUCAUGACGACCAUGAUAUAGUGAAACAGAUAAAUAAAAACGAGAACAAAGAUAAAAUAGAAACUUUUAUUCGCAUCUAUUUUACAAUAGUCAAAAUUCGAUAUUAUCAUAAAUUGCCAGUGAAUAAACAUAUAUUCCGUGAAUUAUGUAUAAACAAUAAUUAUAUUCAUAAUAACCAUUUUUUAAGUUUGCUUUUUUAUGUAUAUAAAUAUAAAUUUAAAGAACUUCAAUACAUGUUAAUGCUACAAAAAAGAUGCUAUUCUUACAAAGAUUUAUAUUACACUCAUACCAAUGGAAGAAUAAUAGAUUUCCUAUGCAAGAAAUUAAACAUAACUUUGGAAGAAAAUAGUAGAACAGUACCCACAAAGCAAACUUCUUAUGACUACGAGAGUGUAUAGCAAAACGUGCAUAAGAGCAGGUGCAUGUAUGUGUAAAAAUUUGGAAUCCUGAAAAAGCGAUUUGCUUUUAAAAAUCAGUAUGUAACAAAAAAAAUAAAAUAAAAUAAAAUAAAUAAAUAAUUUUUUUU